UUACGUCCAUAUCAUGUUGAAACACCGGUUGCCGUAUGAUGACCGAAGUUAAGUAACGUCGGACCUGGUCAACACCUAGAUGGGUGACCACUUGGGAAUACCAGGUGCUGUAA